AUUGAACGCUGGCGGCAUGCCUUACACAUGCAAGUCGAACGGUAACAGGUUAAGCUGACGAGUGGCGAACGGGUGAGUAAUGUAUCGGAACGUGCCCAGUCGUGGGGGAUAACUACUCGAAAGAGUGGCUAAUACCGCAUACGACCUGAGGGUGAAAGCGGGGGACCGUAAGGCCUCGCGCGAUUGGAGCGGCCGAUAUCAGAUUAGCUAGUUGGUGGGGUAAAAGCCCACCAAGGCGACGAUCUGUAGCUGGUCUGAGAGGACGACCAGCCACACUGGGACUGAGACACGGCCCAGACUCCUACGGGAGGCAGCAGUGGGGAAUUUUGGACAAUGGACGCAAGUCUGAUCCAGCCAUGCCGCGUGCGGGAAGAAGGCCUUCGGGUUGUAAACCGCUUUUGUCAGGGAAGAAACGGGUUUCUCUAAUACAGAGACUUAAUGACGGUACCUGAAGAAUAAGCACCGGCUAACUACGUGCCAGCAGCCGCCGCCGUAA
rnacentral:rRNA from 1 species